UUUGGAGAGUUUGAUCCUGGCUCAGGACGAACGCUGGCGGCGUGCCUAACACAUGCAAGUCGAACGGGGAUAUUAAAAGAGCUUGCUCUUUUAAUAUCCUAGUGGCGGACGGGUGAGUAACGCGUGAGUAACCUGCCUUUUUGAGGGGGAUAACAUCGGGAAACCGAUGCUAAUACCGCAUAAUGUAUUAUUUCCGCAUGGAAAAAAUACCAAAGGAGCAAUCCACAAAAAGAUGGACUCGCGUCCGAUUAGCCAGUUGGUGGGGUAACGGCCCACCAAAGCUACGAUCGGUAGCCGGGUUGAGAGACUGAACGGCCACAUUGGGACUGAGACACGGCCCAGACUCCUACGGGAGGCAGCAGUGGGGGAUAUUGCACAAUGGAGGAAACUCUGAUGCAGCAACGCCGCGUGAGGGAAGAAGGUUUUCGGAUUGUAAACCUCUGUCCAAAGGGAAGAAAUAAAUGACGGUACCUUUGGAGGAAGCUCCGGCUAACUACGUGCCAGCAGCCGCGGUAAUACGUAGGGAGCGAGCGUUGUCCGGAAUUACUGGGUGUAAAGGGUGCGUAGGCGGCCAUGUGGGUCAGACGUGAAAUGCACGAGCUUAACUCGUGAACUGCGUUUGAAACUAUAUGGCUUGAGUAAAGUAGAGGCAGGCGGAAUUUCCGGUGUAGCGGUGAAAUGCGUAGAGAUCGGAAGGAACACCAGUGGCGAAGGCGGCCUGCUGGGCUUUUACUGACGCUGAGGCACGAAAGCAUGGGGAGCAAACAGGAUUAGAUACCCUGGUAGUCCAUGCUGUAAACGAUGAUUACUAGGUGUGGGGGGUCUGACCCCUUCCGUGCCGCAGUUAACACAAUAAGUAAUCCACCUGGGAAGUACGAUCGCAAGAUUGAAACUCAAAGGAAUUGACGGGGGCCCGCACAAGCAGUGGAGUAUGUGGUUUAAUUCGAAGCAACGCGAAGAACCUUACCAGGUCUUGACAUCCUAGGAAUCCUUAAGAGAUUAGGGAGUGCCUUCGGGAACCUAGAGACAGGUGGUGCAUGGUUGUCGUCAGCUCGUGUCGUGAGAUGUUGGGUUAAGUCCCGCAACGAGCGCAACCCUUGCUGUUAGUUGCUACAUUUAGUUGAGCACUCUAGCAGGACUGCCGUUGACAAAACGGAGGAAGGUGGGGACGACGUCAAAUCAUCAUGCCCCUUAUGACCUGGGCUACACACGUACUACAAUGGCCGUAAACAGAGGGAAGCAAUACCGCGAGGUGGAGCCAACCCCUAAAAGCGGUCUCAGUUCAGAUUGCAGGCUGAAACUCGCCUGCAUAAAGACGGAAUUGCUAGUAAUCGCGGAUCAGCAUGCCGCGGUGAAUACGUUCCCGGGCCUUGUACACACCGCCCGUCACACCAUGGGAGCCGGUAAUACCCGAAGUCAGUAGUUUAACCGCAAGGAAGACGCUGCCGAAGGUAGGAUUGGCGACUGGGGUGAAGUCGUAACAAGGUAGCCGUAUCGGAAGGUGCGGCUGGAUCACCUCCUUU
rnacentral:rRNA from 1 species